rnacentral:lncRNA from 1 species
GGGGCGGUUGUGUAGAGGAAAUGGAUUGUGAUUUAUUACUUUAUGAGAUUGGGGCUUGGUUGCUAUAUCUUAGCUUAAGCUGAUAAAGUCUUCUUUCAUUGUUAAAUAAAAAUAGGUGUGGGAACUCUCAUGCCUUGCAUCGGACGUCUAAGCAUGCGGCCAUGUGACAUUAUUAUGUAGCAUGAAGCACUAAAAAUAUUUGGAGUAGAGGAAUAGGAAAGAGAGAUGAAAGUAUACCUAGUCUAACGAGGAAAGAGAGAUGAAAGUAUACCUAGUUUAACGUUAAUAUUGUCAACAUUCAUAUAGUGGUUAGGUCUCUCACUUUUCCAUUCAUGUAUGCCUAUCAUUGAGUUCAUAUUGUUGACGUUCAUAUAUUAUAUUGUGAACAAUUCAUAUGGUGGUUUUUUUGGUAAAAAUUCAUAUGGUGGUUAAAUGAUAAUAUUGUCAACAUUCAUGUGGUGGUUAGAUCUCUCACUUUUCAUUCGUACGCC